rnacentral:rRNA from 1 species
GCAGCGACGCAGCGUGCGGGAUGACGGCCUUCGGGUUGUAAACCGCUUUCAGCAGGGAAGAAGCGAAAGUGACGGUACCUGCAGAAGAAGUACCGGCUAACUACGUGCCAGCAGCCGCGGUAAUACGUAGGGUACGAGCGUUGUCCGGAAUUAUUGGGCGUAAAGAGCUCGUAGGUGGUUGGUCACGUCUGCUGUGGAAACGCAACGCUUAACGUUGCGCGUGCAGUGGGUACGGGCUGACUAGAGUGCAGUAGGGGAGUCUGGAAUUCCUGGUGUAGCGGUGAAAUGCGCAGAUAUCAGGAGGAACACCGGUGGCGAAGGCGGGACUCUGGGCUGUAACUGACACUGAGGAGCGAAAGCAUGGGGAGCGAACAGGAUUAGAUACCCUGGUAGUCCAUGCCGUAAACGUUGGGCACUAGGUGUGGGGGACAUUCCACGUUCUCCGCGCCGUAGCUAACGCAUUAAGUGCCCCGCCUGGGGAGUACGGUCGCAAGGCUAAAACUCAAAG